rnacentral:tRNA from 1 species
AUUUAUCUAGUAUAAUAAGUACAAUUAACUUCCAAUUAAUAAGUUUAACUAAAAUAAGAUAAA